rnacentral:RNase_P_RNA from 1 species
AAAGCAGGUCACCCUAUCGCGCAGACUUUAAUGGUCGACGAGGAAAGUCCGGACACCAUAGUGCGGCAUAGCGGGUAACGCCCGUCCGUCGAAAGAUGCGGACCAGUGCAACAGAAAGAAUGUACAGGUAAGGCUGUAGUGAAACCAGGUAAACUCUAUGUGGUGAAACGUCAUGUAAAUCGGUGUUUGAGGGCUGCACGCCCAAGCCGAAGGGUAGGCGGUUAGAGCCUUUGGGCAACCAAAGGUCUAGAUAAAUGAUAGGGACAACACAGUUUGGUGUGGUACAGAAUCCGGCUUACGGCCUGCUUUAAUU